UACGGAGGGAGCUAGCGUUGUUCGGAAUUACUGGGCGUAAAGCGCACGUAGGCGGCUUUGUAAGUUAGAGGUGAAAGCCCGGGGCUCAACUCCGGAACUGCCUUUAAGACUGCAUCGCUUGAAUCCGGGAGAGGUGAGUGGAAUUCCGAGUGUAGAGGUGAAAUUCGUAGAUAUUAGGAAGAACACCAGUGGCGAAGGCGGCUCACUGGCCCGGUACUGACGCUGAGGCGCGAAAGCGUGGGGAGCAAACAGG
rnacentral:rRNA from 1 species